rnacentral:rRNA from 1 species
CUACGGGGGGCAGCAGUGGGGAAUAUUGGGCAAUGGGCGCAAGCCUGACCCAGCAACGCCGCGUGAGGGAAGAAGGUCUUCGGAUUGUAAACCUCUGUCCUUGGGGACGAAAAAAAUGACGGUACCCAAGGAGGAAGCUCCGGCUAACUACGUGCCAGCAGCCGCGCGAAUACGUAGGGAGCAAGCGUUGUCCGGAAUUACUGGGCGUAAAGGGUGCGUAGGCGGCAUGGCAAGUCAGAUGUGAAAUCCCCGGGCUUAACUCGGGUGGGUCAUUUGAAACUGCUGUGCUUGAGUGCAGGAGAGGAAAGCGGAAUUCCUAGUGUAGCGGUGAAAUGCGUAGAUAUUAGGAAGAACACCAGUGGCGAAGGCGGCUUUCUGGACUGUAACUGACGCUGAGGCACGAAAGCGUGGGGAGCAAACAGGAUUAGAUACCCGAGUAGUC